rnacentral:misc_RNA from 1 species
GCAAACUUGGUCAUUUAGAGGAAGUAAAAGUCGUAACAAGGUUUCCGUAGGUGAACCUGCGGAAGGAUCAUUAACAAAAAAUAUACUUGUGUGCGGAGCAGCGGCAGCGUCACUGUUGCAGCUGGUGCCGUGCACAAUGUGUCAACCUUUGUGAAUCGGGCGGAGCGUCGUGAGGCGCCGAGCUUAGUCGGGAGACCCACUUUAUAUUAUAUUAUUAUUAAAGUCUGAAUCUUUUGUCGAAAGACUAAAGCAUCAAUGCAAUACAACUUUUAACAAUGGAUCUCUAGGCUCUUGCAUCGAUGAAGAACGCAGC